AAUUACAAAAUCAAUAAAUCCAUUACCAUUUGAAUCAAAAACCUAACAUUCACUGAGAGGGCUAUUGGAGGGACUUCCAGGAGGAUGGACACAAAGAGACUCAGUGGAUAUGCUGCCCAGAUGGCAUGGGCACCCCUGCCCUUCCUGCUCCUCUGUGUCUUCAUGGAACCUCGUGAUCCUUACUCAAACAAAUCUGCAUUACAUUUCUACCUGAGUAGAGAUGAAAUGCAUAAAUGAAUAAAAUGCUGAGAUGAUGGCAGCUCAACUAGAAACACUCCUGAAGACUCCUAGGGAGACCCCUCAUGUCCACUCCACUACUUGUCGGCCCUCAUCAGCCGUUAGCCACUGAACAGGAUAGAUGAUACAUUUCUGCUGGCUUAGGUUCUUGCUCCCAUAAUUAUGUGCACUCAAAUAUGCUAAGAUUUAUGCAUCUGGCAGAUGUUUAGCCUAACACUUCAUUGCGAGCAGAAUUCUUCUUUACAGAGACCAAAGUGAAUAUGUCCAUAUGCUUUUGUUCACUCUCUACUCUGUCAACAUUUCCACUGACUUCAGUAGAAGUCCAAAUGGGGAAAGUCCAGCUUUAAUAUUCCUUUAUGCCCACAACCUUCCCCUCAUAGAGCCUACUCAUUUUGACAAAUUCUUGAAUUAUAGUUUUACUUACAAUAAAAGAAAAAAAGUGCUUAGUCUUAGACUUCAAGUUAUUAGUGGGUAAGUACUGGAGACUAAGUACGGUACAAAGAGAAAAAAAAGCUGUGAAGCCAGAUACUAACUUGGCAUAGGUCCCUUAGCAUCAGUGGAAUUCUGCUGAUUUACAUAAACUGAGAAUCAGGCGUGUUUAAAAAAAAAAAAAAAAAAAAAGCCAACAAAACCUACAAGCAUCUACAAAACUUGAACACUGUGCUUUGAAAUAUAAGGCAGACACUUUAUCCAUGGGUCUGUGUAGUCUUUCGUUGAAAUCCACUGGAAUUUAGACAUAUUAUUUUUGGCCACUGGAAAGUGCUCACAUUGUUCCAUGAAAGAAACAGAAGCGUGUUGUGAAUUCAGGAGAAAAAUUAAUAGAAAUGUAAAAAAAAAAAAAAGGAAAAAAAAAAAGUAAUAAUUAUAAUAAAGAAGGCUAUGGAGUUCACACAAAGUGCAUUCCUUCAUCCCAAAUUAAGAGCUGCAUGCAUGAAGAGCUGCUCAAGAAGUCAGACUUAAUUUAGCUGUCUUUCUACGGAAAUUAAGUGUGGUAACAGUAGUGAUGACUUUUUUCCCAUUUGCUAACUGUUCAUUUUUCUUUUAGUCUCUUAAUUCCAGUCCUGAAUAGUGUAUGCAAUUUGGGAAAGACUUAGUCUUUUCCAAAGAAGUACAAAUAGUGUUGUGUGUGUUUACUGCAGUACCUCAGCGAUGCCAAUCCUCUCUGACUUGAUGUUUUCUCUGUCUGCCAAGGGAGCCCCGUCCUCUUCAGCCUCACAGGAGAGGCCAUUGGGUCUGGCCAAGGCAAAUAGGUGUGGUGGUUCUGUAACAAGUAUAUUUCUGGAACUAUUACACAGGAAUAAGGGUAGUUCAUCUCAACCAGUUCUCAUCCAUCGGCUGCACCAUUGAUCUAUUGAAACCUACUGAAAUGGCUGCACAUUCUUUUUUCUUCAAUAGUACUUAGACAUUACAGCUAAGUGUUUUCUCAGGAUACCAAGAUACAGAACAUUCAGCAAAGAAUCUGACCUCCCUUUCUGCAUGGUGUGUCUUCCAUUGCAAUGGAUGGAGAUAUUUGGUUCAUUGGCAGAAACUGUUACCAGAAUAUAUGGAAGGCUGGUAGAGACAGAGCAUUUGCAGUACAGUGUGAACCAAAUCUCAUUGCCAAAAGAUGAUCUUCAGUGUCCUUGGGAUUGAUUGCUUGUACUUCUAUUCCACCAACCCUUGAAUAAAGUCGAUGGAGCUCAAAGGUGCUCUUGCAGAAUCUUCAGCCCAUUUUUAAAGUUUCUUAGGACCUUCAUCCCCCUGUGCUCUUCAUUCGCCUGUCUCAUUGGCAUCUAGCCCUGCACCACUGUGAAGUUAAUGGGAGCAACCAUGAAUAUAAGUUCAAGCUGUACAAUGCAAAAAAAAAGUGAUGCUUCAUAGAACCACAAGAUAGCUGCAUUUGGGAGGUGCUGCUGUAAAUCAUCUAGCCCAAAGCUCAAGCAGAGUCAGCUGCAGCAAGUUGUCCAAAACUGUGCCCAGUUGGAUUCUGAAUAUUUCU